rnacentral:rRNA from 1 species
CAGUUGUUCUGUUUAUACCCGAAACCGGGUGAUCUAUCCAUGAGCAGGUUGAAGCAUGGGUAAAGCCUUGAGGAGAACCGAACCAGUACUGGCUGAAAACAGGUUGGAAGACUUGUUGAUAGGGGUGAAAGGGCAAUCAAUUCAUGUGAUAGCUGGUUCUCCCCGAAAUAUAUUGAGGUAUAGCCUCGCGGAUUGUCUUAUGGAGGUAAAGCACUGACAGAGCUAGGGGUCCUACCCGACUACCAACCUCUAUCAAACUCUGAAUACCAUCAAGAUGUACCGCGGGAGUCAGACGGCGGGUGCUAAGGUUCGUCGUCAAAAGGGCAACAGCCCAGACCGCCGGCUAAGGCCUCCAAAUGCAUGCUCAGUGGUUAAGGUGGUGGCGUUGUAGAGACACCCAGGACGUUGGCUUAGAAGCAGCCAUCGUUUAAAGAAAGCGUAAUAGCUCACUGGUCUAAUGACGCUGCGCCGAAAAUGUAACGGGGCUAAGCAUGCUGCCGAAGCCGCGGACUAGUCUUUGACUAUUGGUAGGGGAGCGUUCCCUGCGGGUUGAAGGUGCAUCGAAAGGUGUGCUGGACUUCAGGGAAGUGAUUAUGCUGACAUGAGUAACGAUAAAAUGUGCGAGAAACACAUUCGCCGUAAAUCCAAGGUUUCCUGGGUAAAGGUAAUCUUCCCAGGGUUAGUCGGUCCCUAAGGCCAGGCUGAAAGGCGUAGCUGAUGGGAAACGGGUUAACAGUCCCGUACUUGUAUGACCGCGCGAUGGAGGGACGAAGGACGGUAGGCAAUCCGGUCACUGGAUUCCGGUGCAAGCGCGUAGGCGUGCCCUGCAGGCAAAUCCGCAGGGCUGAGCUGAAACGCGAGUCCGAGGGGGCAACCCCGAAGUUGCCGAGCCGCUGCUUCCUAGAAAAGCUUCUAAGUAUAGGCCAUGCAAACCGUACCGCAAACCAACUCAGGUGGAUGGGAUGAAUAAUCCAAGGCGCUCGAGAGAACUCUGGCCAAGGAACUCGGCAAAAUAACCCCGUACCUUCGGAAUAAGGGGUGCUCCUGCUGGUGGCGUAACAGUUGCUGGCGGGAGCCGCAGAGAAAUGGUGGUGGCGACUGUUUACUAAAAACAUAGGUCUGUGCGAAGUCGCAAAGACGACGUAUACGGACUGACGCCUGCCCGGUGCCGGAAGGUUAAGAGGAGGAGUCAGCGCAAGCGAAGCCCCGAUUCGAAGCCCCGGUAAACGGCGGCCGUAACUAUAACGGUCCUAAGGUAGCGAAAUUCCUUGUCGGGCAAGUUCCGACCUGCACGAAUGGCGUAACGAUCUCCACGCUGUCUCGGCCAGAGACUCGGUGAAAUUGAAGUCGCGGUGAAAAUGCCGUGUACCCGCAGAAAGACGGAAAGACCCUGUGCACCUUUACUAUAGCUUGACAUUGGGUUUUGGACCUGCAUGUGUAGGAUAGGUGGGAGACUGUGAACUCUGCACGCCAGUGUGGAGGGAGUCGUCGGUGAAAUACCACCCUUGUUUGUUCAGGACCCUAACCCGCAGCCGUGAACCGGCGCGGGAACAGUGUCUGGUGGGUAGUUUGACUGGGGCGGUCGCCUCCUAAAGAGUAACGGAGGCAUGCAAAGGUUCCCUCAGCCUGAUUGGAAACCAGGCGCCGAGUGCAAACGCAUAAGGGAGCUUGACUGCAAGAGAGACAUCUCGAGCAGGUACGAAAGUAGGCGCUAGUGAUCCGGUGAUCCCGAAUGGAAGGGUCAUCGCUCAUUGGAUAAAAGGUACGCCGGGGAUAACAGGCUGAUCGCAUCCAAGAGUUCACAUCGACGAUGCGGUUUGGCACCUCGAUGUCGGCUCAUCACAUCCUGGGGCUGAAGCAGGUCCCAAGGGUACGGCUGUUCGCCGUUUAAAGUGGUACGCGAGCUGGGUUUAAAACGUCGUGAGACAGUUUGGUCCCUAUCUUCUGUGGGCGCUGGAGAAUUGAGAGGGGUUGUCCCUAGUACGAGAGGACCGGGAUGAACGCACCACUAGUGGAUCUGUUGUCGCGCCAGCGGCACAGCAGAGUAGCCAUGUGCGGAAUGGAUAACCGCUGAAAGCAUCUAAGCGGGAAGCCAGCCUCGAGAUGAGUUCUCCCUGCCGCAAGGCACUGAAGGGCCGUCGUAGACGACGACGUCGAUAGGCUGGAGGUGGAAGCGCAGCGAUGCGUGGAGCUGACCAGUACUAAUAGCCCGUGCGUCUUAUAU